GUCUGCAAUUGCUGCGCGCUAAAAAGGCUGAAAAUUAAACUUCCCUCCUUGUAGAAAACGAAAAAGUUGAAACUUUAAUAGUCACACAAGCUCGACAUCGAGCUCUCCGCCUUCAUCUCCAAGCUCUCCUCCCUCUACAAAACCCCCGAGCACCUACAGCUCUCCUCCCUUGGCACCGAACUCUACAGCGCCUCCGCCUCUUCCUCUUCCUCCUCAUUGACGCCUCGAAUUCCGUUCAGAGUCACCGGAAGGCUUUUCUCCCACCGCUCCGGCCUCUACCUCCUCCAUCAACCCGGAAGGAUUGGACAAGGGAUAUGCCUGAUUCCGUUCCAAAAUUGCCUGAUUCCGUCCCUCCUCCGACGGUUCCUGAUUCUCUUUUGAAGGCAUUCCCGGCGACGACGUCAUUAUAGUUCAGCAAGGCAAGAAUCCCGGCGACCCGAUCGUUGUCACAGUCAAUUGCCCCGACGAGGCCCGGCCUCGGCUACGACCUCUGCAUAAUUGUGUUCCAGUUCGGCCUUUACAUUACCAAAGGAGGGAUGUAAUAGGUGAAGGGGAAACAAAUGGAGGAAAUCCUGAUAUUAAGAGCAUGUUACAAUUUUGGCUGGUGUUCUCCUUCACUGCUCUAUUUCACCCAAAGUUUACAAAAGGUUGCCGAGAGCUCUAAGUACCCACUGGACUAGAGUGAGAUCAAUUUAUGGAAUUGAUAUGUGGGGGUGCUGCGCUGCUCACUGAUGUUGUAUUUUGGCUCAUUCUGUAUUCAUUUCUAAUGAGUAAAGAUUACAAACUGAACUUUAUGAUGGCCAGUAUGUACUCAUUCAAUCUUGUUUUCUUCCUUGGGGAGACAAUUUUGAAUAGCUUGGUAAGUUCGGUUCCUUCUUCUUGUAAUUGACAUUUUCUCUCCAAAGACAGAAACUACUUCAUAUGAUCUUACUCAGCUCUGUCACCACUCACCACAACACAUCAUGAACUUUGCAUGUAUCUUGGGGUUGGAGUGAUGCAUAUCCCAUGCUACGGCGUCUCUGCUUUAAUUGUUAGAAUGAAGCAGUUGUGGUUCUCAAGAUCAUUCCUGGAGUCUUUUUAGGGUGAGAGGUGUCGUUGCGUGCAUUGAAUCACAAGAGUGUCGAUCUUGGAGUACUAUUAGUCUUACAUUAUUGCUUGUUGGGUCAGCAAUAGUCUAGUUUUGCUUGGUGUUCUUUUCUAAGCUAGUAUGUUCUGAAUUGGCUUCAAGCCUUUUAGCUUUGAUGAAUAUAUGAUAUUGCUUCAAUGUUUGGGUGAUCCUGGAUAAAUAGAGAAUUAUAAUACUAUUAUUAUUAUUUUUUUUAUUAUAAAAAGACAAUUUACG